rnacentral:rRNA from 1 species
CGCGUAGGUCGGUGCGGUAAGUCGGGCGUGAAAUCUCUAGGCUUAACCUGGAGGGGCCGUUCGAAACUGCCGUGCUAGAGUGCGGGAGGGGGAAGUGGAAUUCCCGGUGUAGUGGUGAAAUGCGUAGAUAUCGGGAGGAACACCUGUGGCGAAGGCGGCUUCCUGGACCGCAACUGACGCUGAGGCGCGAAAGCUAGGGGAGCAAACAGGAUUAGAUACCCUGGUAGUCCUAGCCCUAAACGAUGAACACUGGGUGUAGCCCUUCACAGGGCUGUGCCGAAGCUAACGCAUUAAGUGUUCCGCCUGGGGAGUACGGUCGCAAGGCUGAA